AUGCACGCUGGCGGCGUGCCUCAUUCCUGCAAGUCGAGCGCACAGACGAGGAGCUUGCUCCUCUGACGUUAGCGGCGGACGGGUGAGUAACACGUGGAUAACCUACCUAUAAGACUGGGAUAACUUCGGGAAACCGGAGCUAAUACCGGAUAAUAUAUUUAACCGCAUGGUUCAAUAGUGAAAGACGGUUUUGCUGUCACUUAUAGAUGGAUCCGCGCCGCAUUAGCUAGUUGGUAAGGUAACGGCUUACCAAGGCAACGAUGCGUAGCCGACCUGAGAGGGUGAUCGGCCACACUGGAACUGAGACACGGUCCAGACUCCUACGGGAGGCAGCAGUAGGGAAUCUUCCGCAAUGGGCGAAAGCCUGACGGAGCAACGCCGCGUGAGUGAUGAAGGUCUUCGGAUCGUAAAACUCUGUUAUUAGGGAAGAACAAAUGUGUAAGUAACUAUGCACGUCUUGACGGUACCUAAUCAGAAAGCCACGGCUAACUACGUG
rnacentral:rRNA from 1 species